AUAUAGGUCAAGCUACAAAGGGCGCAUGGUGAAUGCCUUGGCAUCAGGAGCCGAUGAAGGACGUGAUAAGCUGCGAUAAGCUUCGGGUAGGCGCACAUAGCCUGAGAUCCGAAGAUCUCCGAAUGAGGAAACUCACAUGGGAAACCCCAUGUAUCAUUAAGUGAAUACAUAGCUUAAUGAAGGUAACCCAGGGAACUGAAACAUCUAAGUACCUGGAGGAAGAGAAAGAAAAAUCGAUUUUCUUAGUAGCGGCGAGCGAAAGGGAAAGAGCCCAAACCGGAAACUUGUUUCCGGGGUUGUGGACAUAACAUAAAAGUGGAGGCUAUUGUAACUGAAGAGAACUGGAAAGUUCCACCGUAGAAGGUAAUAGUCCUGUAAGUGAAACGAGAAGACCACGAGUUAUGAUCCAGAGUACCACGAGACACGUGAAACCUUGUGGGAAGCAGGGAGGACCACCUCCCAAGGCUAAAUACUACCUGAUGACCGAUAGUGAAGCAGUACCGUGAGGGAAAGGUGAAAAGAACCCCGGGAGGGGAGUGAAAUAGAACCUGAAACCGUGUGCCUACAACCGCUCAGAGCCCCUUAUGAGGGUGAUGAGGUGCUUUUUGUAGAACGAGCCAACGAGUUACGGUAUGUAGCAAGGUUAAGUACUUAAGGUACGGAGCCGAAGGGAAACCGAGUCUGAAUAGGGCGACUAGUUGCAUGCCGUAGACCCGAAACCGGGUGACCUAUCCAUGGCCAGGUUGAAGCGAGGGUAAAACCUCGUGGAGGACCGAACCACGUUGCUGUUGAAAAAGCAUGGGAUGAGCUGUGGAUAGCGGAGAAAUUCCAAUCGAACCCGGAGAUAGCUGGUUCUCUCCGAAAUAGCUUUAGGGCUAGCGUCGAGUAUGAGUAGUGGAGGUAGAGCACUGAAUGGGCUAGGGGGCAUAGCGCUUACCGAACCUUAUCAAACUCCGAAUGCCACAUACUUUGAGCUCGGCAGUCAGACUACGAAUGAUAAGAUCCGUGGUCAAAAGGGAAACAGCCCAGAUCGUCAGCUAAGGUCCCAAAGUGUAAGUUAAGUGGGAAAGGAUGUGAGAUUUCUAAGACAACUAGGAUGUUGGCUUAGAAGCAGCCAUUCAUUAAAAGAGUGCGUAAUAGCUCACUAGUCGAGAGAUCUUGCGCCGAAAAUGUAACGGGGCUAAACUUACCACCGAAGCUACGGGCUUGAACUUAGUUCAAGCGGUAGGAGAGCGUCGUAACCGGGCUGAAGUCGUACCGUAAGGAGCGGUGGACUGGUUACGAGUGAGAAUGUUGGCAUCAGUAGCGAGAUGUGGGUGAGAAUCCCACAGGCCGAAAACCUAAGGUUUCCUCAGGAAGGUUCGUCCGCUGAGGGUUAGUCGGGACCUAAGCCGAGGCCGAAAGGCGUAGGUGAUGGACAACUGGUUGAUAUUCCAGUACCACUACCAUCGUUAUUAUCGAUGGCGUGACGCAGGAGGAUAGUGUGUGCUAGCUAUUGGAUGCUAGUCUAAGCGUUUAGGCAGUGAGAGUAGGCAAAUCCGCUCUCAUAAUGCUGAGGCGUGAUGGGGAAGGUUCUACGGAACCGAAGUACAUGAUUCCACGCUGCCAAGAAAAGCGUCUAGAGAGAGAAGUAGUGCCCGUACCGCAAACCGACACAGGUAGGUGAGGAGAGAAUCCUAAGGCCGGCGGAAGAAUUACAGUUAAGGAACUCGGCAAAUUGACCCCGUAAGUUCGCGAGAAGGGGUGCCUACGAGAGUAGGCCGCAGAGAAUAGGCCCAAGCAACUGUUUAGCAAAAACACAGGUCUCUGCUAAAGCGUAAGCUGAUGUAUAGGGGCUGACGCCUGCCCGGUGCUGGAAGGUUAAGGGGAACACUUAGCGCAAGCGAAGGUGUGAACUUAAGCCCCAGUAAACGGCGGCCGUAACUAUAACGGUCCUAAGGUAGCGAAAUUCCUUGUCAGGUAAGUUCUGACCCGCACGAAUGGCGUAAUGACUUGGGCACUGUCUCAACUGUAAAUCCGGCGAAGUUGUAGUGCGAGUGAAGAUGCUCGCUACCCGCGAUUGGACGGAAAGACCCCGUAGAGCUUUACUGUAGCUUAGCAUUGAGUUUUGGUAUUGUCUGUACAGGAUAGGUGGGAGACUAGGAAACCAGGGCGUCAGCCUUGGUGGAGUCAACCUUGGGAUACCACCCUGACAGUACUGAAAUUCUAACUGGCGGCCAUGAAUCUGGUCACAGGACAUUGUUAGGUGGGCAGUUUGACUGGGGCGGUCGCCUCCUAAAAAGUAACGGAGGCGCCCAAAGGUUCCCUCAGAACGGUCGGAAAUCGUUCGAAGAGUGCAAAGGCAGAAGGGAGCCUGACUGCGACACCCACAAGUGGAGCAGGGACGAAAGUCGGGCUUAGUGAUCCGGUGGUACCUCGUGGGAGGGCCAUCGCUCAACGGAUAAAAGCUACCUCGGGGAUAACAGGCUGAUCUCCCCCAAGAGUCCACAUCGACGGGGAGGUUUGGCACCUCGAUGUCGGCUCGUCGCAUCCUGGGGCUGAAGUAGGUCCCAAGGGUUGGGCUGUUCGCCCAUUAAAGCGGCACGCGAGCUGGGUUCAGAACGUCGUGAGACAGUUCGGUCCCUAUCCGUCGCGGGCGUAGGAAAUUUGAGAGGAGCUGUCCUUAGUACGAGAGGACCGGGAUGGACUGACCUCUGGUGUACCAGUUGUUCCGCCAGGAGCACAGCUGGGUAGCUAAGUCGGGAAUGGAUAAACGCUGAAAGCAUCUAAGCGUGAAGCCAACCUCAAGAUGAGAUUUCCCAUAGC
rnacentral:rRNA from 1 species